rnacentral:lncRNA from 1 species
AGCAAUCAGCGAGACUCCAUGGGCGUAGGACCCUCGGAGCCAGGUGCGGGAUGUAAUCUCGUGGUGCGCCGUUUUUUAAGCCCGUCGGAAAAGCGCAAUAUUCGGGUGGGAGUGACCCGAUUUUCCAGGUAGAGACACUUUUGACUUGAUCUCUGCAGUCCUCAACAUGCCAUCUUCUAUCCCAAGGGCAGCCAUCUUCUAUCCCAAGGGCAGCCAUCUUCUAUCCUGAGGGAAGCUGGCCUGAGGAUGAAGCCAGAAUAUGGAGAAGAGGAGAAGGAGAUGGCUGAGAAGCAGAACGGAAACCUGAACUGCAUUUUUCUUAGAGCAAGAAUUACAUCAAUUCUUCAAGCCAAGUUGAGCACUGUUGGUUUCUGCUACUUGGAACUGAAUAAACUCUGACAGAUACUGUACAGGGAACAGUACUUGGGGAGCUCCACUUCAUCUGAGGCCUUCGUGAGUGGCUUGUGUCACAUUCCUGGCUGUUCAGGCAUCAGUCCUGGUUUCCUGGUGAGCUCUCUGCUGACUCCACCCAGAGCUCCCUUGCUUCCG